rnacentral:ribozyme from 2 species
GUCUUAAUGCAGCCGAAGACGGUCACAAGCCCGUAUAAAUGCAGAGUGAGAC